AGUGAACGCUGGCGGCGUGCUUAACACAUGCAAGUCGAACGAGAACGGGAUAUAGCUUGCUAUAUUUGUCAGCUAAGUGGCGCACGGGUGAGUAAUGUAUAGGUAAUAUGCCUCUUACUAAGGGAUAACAAUUGGAAACGAUUGCUAAUACCUUAUAUGCCUUUAAGACUAAAGUCUGCAAGGGAAAGAUUUAUUGGUAAGAGAUUAGCCUGUAUUGUAUCAGCUAGUUGGUGAGGUAAUGGCUCACCAAGGCUAUGACGCAUAACUGGUUUGAGAGGAUGACCAGUCACACUGGAACUGAGACACGGUCCAGACUCCUACGGGAGGCAGCAGUGGGGAAUAUUGCACAAUGGACGAAAGUUUGAUGCAGCAACGCCGCGUGGAGGAUGACACAUUUCGGUGCGUAAACUCCUUUUAUAUAGGAAGAUAAUGACGGUACUAUAUGAAUAAGCACCGGCUAACUCCGUGCCAGCAGCCGCAGUAA
rnacentral:rRNA from 1 species